UGAUCUAUAGCUGGACAGUGCUAGAAAAUAUUACGGUUCCGUUCUUUCUGUGUUUUUAAAGCUUUAAUUGUGUUUACAGUGCGCAAGUGUUCAUGUUUCACGUGUAAAAAACGCGUUAUUUUUCCACACAAUUUACUUAUCUGUAUUCAAAACAGGGCUGAUGUCUUCUUUGUUCUAUGAAGUCCCUCCUUCAGAAAUACAUAACUAGUUCUGAUUGUGUAGUUUGUUUAGUGUGUUGUGAUCCGAUAGCAGCUUAGCUUGCCGUUAGCGUAGCUGGCGACUGACGUAUUUCUGUGGGCGGAGUUUAGUAAAAAAAAUGUUCUGGUGACGUCAUUAAAGCAGGAAGUAGAGGGCUGUAGUCCAAACCGACCGUUGGCUGUAGGCUUUGAAAGGCGAAUUCUGAAGAAAAUAUAUCGCCUGGCAGUGAACUUUGAGCUUUAUCAUUUUACAGGUGUGGUUUAACAAUGCAGUUGCUCUGUGAUCAUGGCUCACCGAACGUAUCGUCACAUUCCCUCUGGGUCAUGUCACUUUGAGUAAGGGUCCCUACGUGACCGGCUGCAUACAAUUUGCAGAGUGAGUUCAAGUAAAUUUGUCAACAGUUUGUCAGACCAAUGACCUUCCACCAAAAGCAAGGCUGUGCAAGUGCAAGUGACCAAGUAAUCAUGCAAUGAAAGACACAUCUACCAGGCCAGCAUGGUUUCAGGGACUGAAUCUUUAGUAGG